rnacentral:rRNA from 1 species
GACGAACGCUGGCGGCGUGCUUAACACAUGCAAGUCGAACGAAGAGCGAUGGAAGCUUGCUUCUAUCAAUCUUAGUGGCGAACGGGUGAGUAACGCGUAAUCAACCUGCCCUUCAGAGGGGGACAACAGUUGGAAACGACUGCUAAUACCGCAUACGAUCUAAUCUCGGCAUCGAGGAAAGAUGAAAGGUGGCCUCUAUUUAUAAGCUAUCACUGAAGGAGGGGAUUGCGUCUGAUUAGCUAGUUGGAGGGGUAACGGCCCACCAAGGCGAUGAUCAGUAGCCGGUCUGAGAGGAUGAACGGCCACAUUGGGACUGAGACACGGCCCAGACUCCUACGGGAGGCAGCAGUGGGGAAUCUUCCGCAAUGGACGAAAGUCUGACGGAGCAACGCCGCGUGAGUGAUGACGGCCUUCGGGUUGUAAAGCUCUGUUAAUCGGGACGAAAGGCCUUCUUGCGAACAGUUAGAAUCGC